rnacentral:tRNA from 2 species
CAGAGAGUAGUUUAAUCUACACAGAACACUAGCUUUGGGAGCUAGCAGCGAAGGUUAAAUUCCUUCCUCCCUGA